AACGAACGCUGGCGGCAUGCCUAACACAUGCAAGUCGAACGAACCCUUCGGGGUUAGUGGCGCACGGGUGUGUAACCCGUGGGAAUCUUCCCUUUGCUUCGGAAUAACUCAGGGAAACUUGUGCUAAUACCGGAUGAUGUCUUCGGCCCAAAGAUUUAUCGGCAAGGGAUGAGCCCGCGUAGGAUUAGGUCGUUGGUUGGGUAAAGGCCUACCAAGCCGACGAUCCUUAGCUGGUCUGAGAGGAUGAUCAGCCACACUGGGACUGAGACACGGCCCAGACUCCUACGGGAGGCAGCAGUGGGGAAUAUAGGAAAAUGGGCGCAAGCAUGAUCCAGCAAUGACGCGUGAGUGAUGAAGGCCCUCGAGUCGUAAAGCUCUUUUAACAGGGAUGAUAAUGACGGUACCUGGAGAAUAAGCUCCGGCUAACUCCGUG
rnacentral:rRNA from 1 species